UACAGAGGGGGCAAGCGUUGUUCGGAAUUACUGGGCGUAAAGGGCGCGUAGGCGGCCUUCUAAGUCGAACGUGAAAUCCCCGGGCUCAACCCGGGAACUGCGUCCGAUACUGGAAGGCUUGAAUCCGGGAGAGGGAUGCGGAAUUCCAGGUGUAGCGGUGAAAUGCGUAGAUAUCUGGAGGAACACCGGUGGCGAAGGCGGGUCUGCUGGGCGAGUAACUGACGCUGAGGCGCGAAAGCGUGGGAGCGAAC
rnacentral:rRNA from 1 species